UAUUGAAACAGCAUUUCCCAUACUAUCACCAAAAUUAAGCAAUGUCAAGCCUGAUUAGUACCUGGAUGGAUGACCACUUAGGAAUACCAGGUGCUGUAAG